AAUAUUGGACAAUGGGUGCAACCCUGAUCCAGCCAUGCCGCGUGUGUGAAGAAGGUCUUCGGAUUGUAAGGCACUUUUAGUUGGGAGGAAGGGCUUUAGGUUAAUACCCUGAAGUUUUGACGUUACCAACAGAAUAAGCACCGGCUAACUCUGUGCCAGCAUCCGCGGUAAUACAGAGGGUGCAAGCGUUAAUCGGAAUUACUGGGCGUAAAGCGCGCGUAGGUGGUUCAGAAAAAUUGGUAUGAAAUCCCCGGGCUUAACCUGGGAACUGCUUUCAUAACUGCUGAGCUAGAGUACGGUAGAGGGUAGUGGAAUUUCCUGUGUAGCGGUGAAAUGCGUAGAUAUAGGAAGGAACACCAGUGGCGAAGGCGACUACCUGGACUGAUACUGACACUGAGGUGCGAAAGCGUGGGGAGCAAACAGG
rnacentral:rRNA from 1 species